GUUGAACCAGUGCCACAGCAGCAACCUGGGCUGCUGCAGUGACAACACAGGAUCUUUAACCCACUGCACCAGAGGAAACCCCUUAUUUGUGUGAUUUUGUGAUUCAUGUUCAUUUCUCCUACUGGACCAUAUUUGCCAUGAACAUAAGGCUGUGUCUUUUUUUCCUUUGCUAUUUUAUCUCUUGUAGGCACUUGAUAAAUAUUUGUUAAAUAGAAUAAUUGUAAAUAGACUGACCCCCCGGAACUGUGAUUAUGCCUGACUUUGGGAUUAGAAGAAUCUGAUAACUCUUUUUUCUGGAUUGCACUUCCUCAUCCUAAAGAAUGACAAAAAAUUUGCACUCCAUCUAGGCCUCUCACCCAGAGGGAACAGAUUUCUAUUCCAAAAAUACAGAGGCGUGAGCCUCAAGUCUGCAUCUUCUAAAACAAGCCAUUAAAGCAAACAAAGAAGUUGAUGUUCUAUAAGAUAUAUUUAAUCAGAUGGCUGCUGCCUGCACAUCCACAGAGCAACUCACGUUCAAAUGAAUUUCCGAAUAAGAUAAUGACAGGACUAAGCUUCCUGAUAUCUUGUUGGAGGAGAUCAUCAAGAGACCAUGACCACUGGUUGACCUGCACCUGGAUCUGGAUGAUCAGAGACUCCCCACCCACAUCUCAUCCUUGGAACCCACGUUCUACCCCCUGUCCCAUGGUGGGAGCCAUUUUCAAGGGCAUGGCCUUGAGCGAGCAAUGUGUUGUUAGAGCCAUCUGGACAGUGUAUGGAACUGAUGGUUCACAUUGAGGCCUCUAUAUAGACUUUAUAUAAACUAUACAAACCUCGGUAUAAAGAUUCCCACAGCCUUGUAAAUUAACUAUACUUCAAUAAGACUUACAAAAUUAAAAACAGGAAAAAAAAUAUUUGUUAGGACUUCCCAUUGCAGCUCAGCAGGUUAAGAACCUGACCCUGACUUAGUGUCCAUGAGGAUGCAGGUUUGAUCCUUUGCCGUGCCCAUUGAG
rnacentral:lncRNA from 1 species